UACGUAGGGGGCUAGUGUUGCUCGGAAUCACUGGGCGUAAAGCGCACGCAGGCGGCUUCUUAAGUCAGGGGUGAAAUCCUGGGGAUCAACCCCAGAACUGCCGUUGAUACUGAGGAGCUUGAGUCCGGGAGAGGUGAGUGGAACUCCGAGUGUAGAGGUGAAAUUCGUAGAUAUUCGGAAGAACACCAGUGGCGAAGGCGGCUCACUGGCCCGGUACUGACGCUGAGGUGCGAAAGCGUGGGGAGCAAACAGG
rnacentral:rRNA from 1 species